rnacentral:tRNA from 1 species
GCCGGCGUGGCGGAAUCGGCAUACGCGCCGGUUUCAAAAACCGGUCCUUAAUAGGUUGGGGGUUCGAGUCCCCCCGCCGGCA